rnacentral:rRNA from 1 species
AUUGAACGCUGGCGGCAGGCCUAACACAUGCAAGUCGAACGAGUGGCGGACGGGUGAGUAAUGUCUGGGAAACUGCCCGAUGGAGGGGGAUAACUACUGGAAAGGGUAGAUAAUACCGCAUACGCUCGGAUGUGCCCACAUAGGAUUAGCUUGGAGGUGAGGUAACGGCUCACCUAGGCCACGAUCCCUAGCUGGUCUGAGAGGAUGAACAGCCACACUGGAACUGAGACACGGUCCAGACUCCGACGGGAGGCAGCAGUGGGGAAUAGUGCACAAUGGGCGCAAGCCUGAUGCAGCCAUGCCGCGUGUAUGAAGAAGGCCUUCGGGUUGUAAAGUACUUUCAGCGGGGAGGCGUUACCCGCAGAAGAAGCACCGGCUAACUCCGUGCCAGCAGCCGCGGUAAUAC